ACGGGAGGCAGCAGUGAGGAAUAUUGGUCAAUGGGCGGAAGCCUGAACUAGCCAAGUCGCGUGAAGGAAGAAGGUAUUAUGUAUUGUAAACUGCUUUUAUACGGGAAUAAAGUGACCUACGUGUAGGUUUUUGCAUGUACCGUAAGAAUAAGGACCGGCUAAUUCCGUGCCAGCAGCCGCGGUAAUACGGAAGGUCCGGGCGUUAUCCGGAUUUAUUGGGUUUAAAGGGAGCGUAGGCCGUGCUUUAAGCGUGUUGUGAAAUGUAGGCGCCCAACGUCUGCACUGCAGCGCGAACUGGAGCACUUGAGUACGCAGGAAGUAGGCGGAAUUCGUCGUGUAGCGGUGAAAUGCUUAGAUAUGACGAAGAACUCCGAUUGGGAAGCCAGCUUACUGUAGCGCCACUGACGCUGAUGCUCGAAAGCGUGGGUAUCGAACAGGAUUAGAUACCCUGGUA
rnacentral:rRNA from 1 species